rnacentral:lncRNA from 1 species
UAUUAUAAUAUUAAUUUAUAUUUGAGAAAAUUCUUUUUUUGAAUGAACAGCAUGUUAAAAUUUAUGAAUGCGUCUGGGGUCGACCGCUGGAUGGAAUGGACUUGGUCCGAGGACGGGUUGCUUGAUUUCUUAGGGAGACCCUUUGGUUGCUUCCCUAGCUCUCACACAUUGGUUGAUCCAUCGUUGUCGGCACAAAACUUUACUCCGUAUGUAGGAUACAUGCAAGCUUAUUAAUUAGUUUAAGUGGUAUUACUGCAACAGUAAUGGUGUACUGUUGUCUUAUUUCAUCCUUAGAUGCAUAAUGAAGUGUGCAGCUUGUGACCUCUGUGCAGUAAUGGUUUUAUUAGUUCCUGUGCACACAGUGUCAUUACUUAAUUUGCUAAAUUUCUUUAACUUCCAAUGUAUUACUGUUUUUUUCUAUGUUUCUUACCAGUUUCUAAUUCCUUCUUUUCGAACUUGCAAGCACUUGGCCAUUCCCUACUUGAAUCUUGUACUUGUAAUGAAGCUGUGACUUUCAUUUAAGUGAUUAAAAAGCCAACGUGCAUUAUUUUUCAACUAAUAUUGAAAAUUUUCUUUCAAAACUUAGCCGUUAUAUUGUUAUGGGAAGAGUCUACAUAGGGCAGUGUUGUGGAAUAAUGAAAACCCUUAGAGGGUGAAAGUUAUAAUUAUCACAAUCAUAAUUUUUAUUGAGAAGAAUGUGUGUACAAAGAACAUAAGAGUAAUGUACAGUUGUAGAGACAGGAGUUACACAUACAGUACUAAUGAAGCCACUAUUAUGGAAAGCGUUUUCGGGCAAGUUGUCGAAGGACACAGAUAAAAUCACUAUCUUGUUACUUUCAUCGUUUUAAGAUGAAUACUUGGAAUAUAGACGAGGUAAUUAUCUGUUGAGAUGUUUGUACUCGCCUAUUUGUGCUUGUGGGGGGUUGAGCUCUGGCUCUUUGAUCCCGCCUCUGUGUAGUACACGUCUCGUGCAAACACCACAACAUUCUGAACACAGCCUGCCAGUUUAGCUGUCCUGUUUUCUCUCUUAAGAAAUAUUCUUUCUUGGAGAGAAAUUUUGUCAUUAUCCAAAUGCUGUCAAGUUUUAUAAAGUCCUGGAAGUUUUGCUGAUCACAUAUCACAUAUACCGGUAUAUGCUAAUCUCACAAGACACGUGACCAGCCUGUACUCAGAUGCCUUACCACUGUGCUUUUGAACUACAGUGACUUGCUGGAUAUUCACACUUGACCACCUUUGUCCCUACAUGGUUCAGGAGCUUUCUUCAAAUACUGAGAGUAUAAUUGAACAUUUGGAAUGUAUCAUACAGUAGGCAAUAUUGUACACUGUAAUAAUAAUUUGUUAAAGGUACAGUGCCACUAUGACAUUAUAAAAUACAGAUUUGUUUGCCAAAAUAUUGCUCAAAAUAAUAAAUGUACAUAAUAUUUGUUUACAACUUUUAAAUUGUAGAUUAUGAAUGGACUGGUAAGCUGUAGUAAGUUUAGCUGGGUAUACUGCCAUAACCCUAGUCAAAGUGUGCUAGCUAGUGUAGAGUAUUUUGAGACUGCAUAACACACUACUGAUUGUGCUCAUAUAGAAGUGAUGACAAAUGUGUUAGAAGAGGUGAUGCAUUAUUUAGUUUGUAAAAAAACAAGAAACUUAGUACUAUUAUAUAAAUGUCUAUUUUCAUGACUGACAUUUUCUAAUGUGACAGUGGAGAUGGUAAUUGUGUUUUAACAAUAAGUUGUUAGUGAUGACUAGUGACAGGUUGUCAAGAUUCAACACGUGACAGGUUGUCAAUAUUCAACACGUAACAGGUUGUCAAGAUUCAACACUUUUUAAGUUUUAUUUCAAAAUCUUUAUGAUGUAAAAAACAAAAAUACUUUUUAUAAUAUCUGGCCUCUGCUGGUACUGCGUGAGCUUGUCGGUGCUAUAUUGUAUAUGUUCGAUUAUUUCACUUUGGGAGUCCUUGUGCUUACUGGGAUUAAGGGUAACAGAGUGCCUGCUUUAACAGGGUUGAAAUUUUCAUAAAAUCUGUUUCAAUGCAAAUGAAGAUGAUUUCAUUCUUGUAAUGCGUUUUGUUAAUCAUUUUAAUACUUCCAUAAAGAUUUUUUUAGUAA